AUUGAACGCUGGCGGCAUGCCUUACACAUGCAAGUCGAACGGUAACGCGGGGCAACCUGGCGACGAGUGGCGAACGGGUGAGUAACGCAUCGGAACGUGCCCAGUAGUGGGGGUUAGCCCGGCGAAAGCCGGAUUAAUACCGCAUACGACCUACGGGUGAAAGAGGGGGAUCGCAAGACCUCUCGCUAUUGGAGCGGCCGAUGUCAGAUUAGGUAGUUGGUGGGGUAAAAGCCUACCAAGCCUACGAUCUGUAGCUGGUCUGAGAGGACGACCAGCCACACUGGGACUGAGACACGGCCCAGACUCCUACGGGAGGCAGCAGUGGGGAAUUUUGGACAAUGGGCGCAAGCCUGAUCCAGCCAUGCCGCGUGCGGGAAGAAGGCCUUCGGGUUGUAAACCGCUUUUGUCAGGGAAGAAACGCUCUGGACUAAUACUCUGGGGUAAUGACGGUACCUGAAGAAUAAGCACCGGCUAACUACGUGCCAGCCGCCGCCGUAA
rnacentral:rRNA from 1 species